rnacentral:rRNA from 1 species
CCUACGGGAGGCAGCAGUGGGGAAUAUUGGACAAUGGGGGAAACCCUGAUCCAGCGACGCCGCGUGAGUGAAGAAGUAUUUCGGUACGUAAAGCUCUAUCAGCAGGAAAGAAAAUGACGGUACCUGACUAAGAAGCCCCGGCUAACUACGUGCCAGCAGCCGCGGUAAUACGUAGGGGGCAAGCGUUAUCCGGAUUUACUGGGUGUAAAGGGAGCGUAGACGGCAGCGCAAGUCUGGAGUGAAAUGCCGGGGCGCAACCCCGGAACUGCUCUGGAAACUGUGAAGCUGGAGUGCAGGAGAGGUAAGCGGAAUUCCUGGUGUAGCGGUGAAAUGCGUAGAUAUCAGGAGGAACACCGGCGGCGAAGGCGGCUUACUGGACUGUAACUGACGUUGAGGCUCGAAGGCGUGGGGAGCAAACAGGAUUAGAUACCCUAGUAGUC